GGCAGCCUGCCGCGUGGAGAAGCUCUCCGUCUUUUUCUUCUUCGUUCAAGAAAUCCCGUCUUUCAAGCUUUGCAUGAGCCGCAAUAAAUGUCAUUUUUUGAGCCCUUUCGCGGCCCGCACUUGAGUUCCUAUGCAUACAAUUGCAAACCCAUUUCAUGGAAGACCGAUUGCACUUGAACCCACAAGAGGUCGCAUGGAGGAAGAUAAGCCUGACUGCAACCUUGCCUAAUGCUUUAUAUUCACUCAGGCAAGUUUCCCACACUAACCUGCUGCCCUGCGGAUGUGCAAUUUUCAUCUUUCCAGUCGAGGGGUCCCUCUGUUUAACCUGAACAGCCUGGGCAUACAGUGGAUCUAGCCCUUCUGAUCUCCAUUUCAUUAGCUCCAUUAAGGCAACAUGAGCUUCUUCCCUAGAAACCAGUCGGGUUAUAAGCUGGUCGACAUGUUUCUCCUGCUCAUGUGUCAAGCACUUGAAUGGAGGAAGGUACUUUCCACUUGCGUCCCUCAUCAAGUAAAGCGGGUCAAGUAUAAAUGCAGCAGACCAUGCUGGGUGGUAGUUCUUUCUGAAUCUCUUUUCUACUAUUUUCUCCAUUUUCUCAACGUGUCCAUCAACAAUGUUGAAUCUGGCAGACCAAUCCUUCACUUUUGCUUUCAAGUCCUCCCAAAGAGGGAGGCACUGCCCUAUAAAUGGCCGCUCCACCUCAAUCUCAUGGGCCAUCUCUCUGAUGAGCUUCAUUAGUGAAUAAACUGCCUCCAAAUCAUUCCAAAACCCCUCAUUUUGAAUCAUUCCAGCAAUUUCCUCAGCAACAGAAUCC
rnacentral:misc_RNA from 1 species